rnacentral:rRNA from 1 species
GAUGAACGCUGGCGGCGUGCUUAACACAUGCAAGUCGAACGGGAAUUCUUUUAUUGAAACUUCGGUCGAUAUGAUUUAAUUCUAGUGGCGGACGGGUGAGUAACGCGUGGGUAACCUGCCUUGUACUGGGGGAUAACAGUCAGAAAUGGCUGCUAAUACCGCAUAAGCGCACACAGCUGCAUGGCUCCGUGUGAAAAACUACGGUGGUCUAAGAUGGACCCGCGUUGGAUUAGCUUGUUGGCAGGGUAACGGCCUACCAAGGCGACGAUCCAUAGCCGGCCUGAGAGGGUGAACGGCCACAUUGGGACUGAGACACGGCCCAGACUCCUACGGGAGGCAGCAGUGGGGAAUAUUGCACAAUGGGGGAAACCCUGAUGGAGCGACGCCGCGUGAAGGAAGAAGUAUCUCAGUAUGUAAACUUCUAUCAGCAGGGAAGAGAUUGACGGUACCUGACUAAGAAGCCCCGGCUAACUACGUG